GUAUUCAUUUUCAGCAAAGACAAGACGUCUUAGAUGUCCACCUGAACUGCUGCACAAGCAUUCAAUGUAAACCCACAUUUAAAAAAAGAACGUGGAAGAGAAGUCCAGAGACAGAAGGAAAGGAGACAGCAUGCAGUUCCCCCCACCCCCCAAUCUGCACCAGAUCAUGCAUUAUGCUUCUGCUUUUGCAGUCAUAUGAAAUAAAUGGUUACACACUGUUCAUUUAAA